GAGUGGGGUGAGCUACUAGAGCCCAGUGAGCAGAAUAAUAAAAUAUUAUAUUAAGAGUUCAUGCUUUCAUGAAAUGCAUCACAUCACAAACAAAUCACAUUAAGGAUGAACUUGUCACCAAUAGUCCUCUACAUAUCCAAUAGUGCCAGGGACGUAGAAUGGGUCUUCCUGGACUUCCUCUUACAUAACAUAUCAUAACAUUCCAAUAUGCCAGGGACGUAGAAUGGGUCUUCCUGGACUUUCUCUUACAUAGUGCCAAGGACGUAGAAUGGGUCUUCCUGGACUUCCAUACCAUAUCAUCAUCAUAUCAUACCAUAUCAUACGAGGACUAAUGGAUCAUUCAACAUUCAUCCACAUCAACAACAUAAUAUGCAAUGCAACAUAUUCGUGAAUGCUGAUGCAAGCACCCUAACAUAUCACAUGGUAUCCAUGAUGUGUGAAUCAUGCUAAAAUAUUCAUUAUUUAUUUUAAAACAUAAAGAGUUAUUCCACUCACCUCUGGCUAGCUCUGACCAGACACUGAAGCAGCUGACUCACUGCUGGGGUCCUCGGUUCCUCGGGUCCG
rnacentral:lncRNA from 1 species